UACGGGGGCGAAGCGUUGUUCGGUAAUUACUGGGCGUAAAGGGCUCGUAGGUGGCCAACUAAGUCAGACGUGAAAUCCCUCGGCUUAACCGGGGAACUGCGUCUGAAUACUGGAUGGCUUGAGUUCGGGAGAGGGAUGCGGAAUUCAGGUGUAGGCGGUAGAAAUGCGUAGAUAUCUGGAGGAACACCGGUGGCGAAGGCGGCAUCCUGGACCGACACUGACACUGAGGAGCGGAAAGCAUGGGGAGCGAACAGG
rnacentral:rRNA from 1 species